rnacentral:rRNA from 1 species
AACGAACGCUGGCGGCAUGCCUAACACAUGCAAGUCGAACGAGACCUUCGGGUCUAGUGGCGCACGGGUGCGUAACGCGUGGGAACCUGCCCUUAGGUUCGGAAUAACUCCCCGAAAGGGGUGCUAAUACCGGAUAAUGUCUUCGGACCAAAGAUUUAUCGCCUUUGGAUGGGCCCGCGUUGGAUUAGCUAGUUGGUAGGGUAAAAGCCUACCAAGGCGACGAUCCAUAGCUGGUCUGAGAGGAUGAUCGGCCGCACUGGGACUGAGACACGGCCCAGACUCCUACGGGAGGCAGCAGUGGGGAAUAUUGGACAAUGGGCGAAAGCCUGAUCCAGCAAUGCCGCGUGAGUGAUGAAGGCCUUAGGGUUGUAAAGCUCUUUUACCCGGGAUGAUAAUGACAGUACCGGGAGAAUAAGCUCCGGCUAACUCCGUG